AGAGGUUUUGAUCCUGGGCUCAGGAACGAAAGCUAGGGUAGCGAAAGGGAUUAGAGACCCCUGUAGUCCUAGCCGUAAACUAUGCUCGCUAGGGAUGUGUCCUACUCUUUUCUUAAGCACAAACUGAUUUGUAAAAGAUCUGCUUAUUUUUAUUUUUUGAAUCUUUGAAAUCAUUUGAUAACGGUUUGAGGGAAGUGUAGGAUGCGUUCCGCAAGCUAACGCGUUAAGCGAGCCGCCUGGGGAGUACGGUCGCAAGACUAAAACUCAAAGGAAUUGACGGGGACCUGCACAACCAGUGGAGCAUGUGGUUUAAUUCGAGACGAACCGAAGAACCUUACCUGGGUUUGACAUCCUAUUUUUAAUGCCUUUUUAGAAAUAAUUAGGAAGUUUGCUAUUUGUAAACGAGGUAGGACAGGUGUCGCAUGGCUAUCGUCAGCUCGUGCCGUGGGGUGUUCCCUUC
rnacentral:rRNA from 1 species